UCUGUACUGCAGCUCAGGGUUAGAGCGCUGCACUAGAAACGCAGGGCCGCAAGUUCGACUCCUGCCAGAGAG